GGUGAGUAACGCGUAGGCACCUGCCCUCAGCAGAGGGAUAGCCAUUGGAAACGAUGAUUAAAACCUCAUAAUGCUGUCAGAGCACAUGCUCAGGCAGCCAAAGAUUUAUCGGCUGGGGAUGGGCCUGCGUCUGAUUAACUGGUUGGUGAGGUAACGGCUCACCAAGGUGACGAUCAGUAGCCGACCUGAGAGGGUGAUCGGCCACAUUGGAACUGAGACACGGUCCAAACUUCUACGGAAGGCAGCAGUAAGGAAUCUUGCACAAUGGGGGAAACCCUGAUGCAGCAACGCCGCGUGAACGAUGAAGGCCUUAGGGUUGUAAAGUUCUGAUCUGGGGGAAGAAGAAAGUGACGGUACCCCAGGAGAAAGCCCCGGCUAAAUACGUGCCAGCAGCCGCGGUAAUACGUAUGGGGCAAGCGUUAUCCGGAAUUAUUGGGCGUAAAGAGUGCGUAGGUGGUUACCUAAGCGCAAGGUUUAAUCUUGAGGCUCAACCUCAUUCUGCCUUGCGAACUGGGCUACUUGAGUGCUGGAGGGGAAAGCGGAAUUCCCAGUGUAGCGGUGAAAUGCGUAGAUAUUGGGAAGAACACCGGUGGCGAAGGCGGCUUUCUGGACAGUAACUGACACUGAGGCACGAAAGCGUGGGGAGCAAACAGGAUUAGAUACCCUGGUAGUCCACGCC
rnacentral:rRNA from 1 species